rnacentral:rRNA from 1 species
GUGGGGAAUAUUGGACAAUGGGCGCAAGCCUGAUCCAGCCAUGCCGCGUGAGUGAUGAAGGCCUUAGGGUUGUAAAGCUCUUUCAGUGGGGACGAUAAUGACGGUACCCACAGAAGAAGCCCCGGCUAACUUCGUGCCAGCAGCCGCGGUAAUACAGAGGGUGCAAACGUUGCUCGGAAUUACUGGGCGUAAAGCGCGUGUAGGCUGACAUGCAAGUCGGGUGUGAAAUCCCAGGGCUCAACCUUGGAACUGCACUCGAAACUGCACGUCUUGAGUACUGGAGAGGGAAGCGGAAUUCCGGGUGUAGAGGUGAAAUUCGUAGAUAUCCGGAGGAACACCAGUGGCGAAGGCGGCUUCCUGGACAGUAACUGACGCUGAGACGCGAAAGCGUGGGGAGCAAACAGGAUUAGAAACCCGAGUAGUCC